AACUUGCGGCAACGGAUCACUUGGCUCUCGCAUCGAUUAAGAACGCAGCGAAAUGCGAUACGUAAUGUGAAUUGCAGAAUUCAGUGAAUCAUCGAAUCUUUGAACGCACCUUGCGCCCCUUGGUAUUCCGAGGGGUGCACCCGUUUGAGUGUCGUGAACACCCUCAACCUUCUUGGUUUAUCGACCGGGAAGGAUUGGACUUUGGAGGUUUUUGUUGCUGGCCUCGUUUGAAGCCAGCUCCUCCUAAAUGAAUUAGUGGGGUCCGCCGUGCCGAUCCUCGACGUGAUAAGUACGCUUCUACGUCUUGGGGUUUCGCACCGUUCUCGCUUCCAACUUCGAGUUGUGACUCGACCUUAUAAACCUUGACCUCAAAUCGGGUGAGACUACCCGCUGAACUUAAGGAUAUCAAUAAGCGGAGGCU
rnacentral:misc_RNA from 1 species